GUAGGGAACGCGCGACCGCAAGUCUGACUCGCCGGCUCGCCGGCUUGGGAUUGCGGUAGUGC
rnacentral:ncRNA from 1 species